AUGCAAGUCGAACGAGAAGCUGACUUCGGUCAGUGGAAAGUGGCGGACGGGUGAGUAAUAUGUAGAGAAUCUGCCCUUGAGUGGGGGACAACAGAGGGAAACUUCUGCUAAUACCCCAUAUGAGCUUAGCUGAAAUGCUAAUCUUGAAAACUCCGGUGCUCAAGGAUGAGUCUGCAUCUGAUUAGCUAGUUGGCGGUGUAAUGGACCACCAAGGCAACGAUCAGUAGCUGGUUUGAGAGGAUGAUCAGCCACAAUGGGACUGAGACACGGCCCAUACUCCUACGGGAGGCAGCAGUAGGGAAUUUUGCGCAAUGGGCGAAAGCCCUGACGCAGCAACGCCGCGUGAACGAGAAGCCCUUCGGGGUGUAAAGUUCUGUCAGUAGGGACGAAACUUGACGGUACCUACAGGGGAAGCACCGGCUAACUCCGUGCCAGCCGCAGC
rnacentral:rRNA from 1 species